rnacentral:SRP_RNA from 1 species
GCCGGGCAUGGUGGUGCACGCCUGUAAUCCCAGCAACUAGGGAGGCUGAGGCAGGAGAAUUGCUUGAACCUGGGACGUGGAGGUUGCAGUGAGCCGAGAUUGUGCCAUUGCACUCCAACCUGGGUGACAGAGCAAGACUCUGUCUCAA